GAAUGGGGAAACCCAGUGUGAUUCGUCACACUAUCAUUAACUGAAUCCAUAGGUUAAUGAGGCGAACCGGGGGAACUGAAACAUCUAAGUACCCCGAGGAAAAGAAAUCAACCGAGAUUCCCCCAGUAGCGGCGAGCGAACGGGGAGGAGCCCAGAGCCUGAAUCAGCAUGUGUGUUAGUGGAAGCGUCUGGAAAGGCGCGCGAUACAGGGUGACAGCCCCGUACACAAAAGCGCAUGUGCUGUGAGCUCGAUGAGUAGGGCGGGACACGUGGUAUCCUGUCUGAAUAUGGGGGGACCAUCCUCCAAGGCUAAAUACUCCUGACUGACCGAUAGUGAACCAGUACCGUGAGGGAAAGGCGAAAAGAACCCCGGCGAGGGGAGUGAAAAAGAACCUGAAACCGUGUACGUACAAGCAGUGGGAGCACCCUUUGGGUGUGACUGCGUACCUUUUGUAUAAUGGGUCAGCGACUUAUAUUCUGUAGCAAGGUUAACCGAAUAGGGGAGCCGGAGGGAAACCGAGUCUUAACCGGGCGUUAAGUUGCAGGGUAUAGACCCGAAACCCGGUGAUCUAGCCAUGGGCAGGUUGAAGGUUGGGUAACACUAACUGGAGGACCGAACCGACUAAUGUUGAAAAAUUAGCGGAUGACCUGUGGCUGGGGGUGAAAGGCCAAUCAAACCGGGAGAUAGCUGGUUCUCCCCGAAAGCUAUUUAGGUAGCGCCUCGUGAAUUCAUCUCCGGGGGUAGAGCACUGUUUCGGCUAGGGGGCCAUCCCGGCUUACCAACCCGAUGCAAACUGCGAAUACCGGAGAAUGUUAUCACGGGAGACACACGGCGGGUGCUAACGUCCGUCGUGAAGAGGGAAACAACCCAGACCGCCAGCUAAGGUCCCAAAGUCAUGGUUAAGUGGGAAACGAUGUGGGAAGGCCCAGACAGCCAGGAUGUUGGCUUAGAAGCAGCCAUCAUUUAAAGAAAGCGUAAUAGCUCACUGGUCGAGUCGGCCUGCGCGGAAGAUGUAACGGGGCUAAACCAUGCACCGAAGCUGCGGCAGCGACACUGUGUGUUGUUGGGUAGGGGAGCGUUCUGUAAGCCUGUGAAGGUGUGUCGUGAGGCAUGCUGGAGGUAUCAGAAGUGCGAAUGCUGACAUAAGUAACGAUAAAGCGGGUGAAAAGCCCGCUCGCCGGAAGACCAAGGGUUCCUGUCCAACGUUAAUCGGGGCAGGGUGAGUCGACCCCUAAGGCGAGGCCGAAAGGCGUAGUCGAUGGGAAACGGGUUAAUAUUCCCGUACUUGGUGUUACUGCGAAGGGGGGACGGAGAAGGCUAUGUUGGCCGGGCGACGGUUGUCCCGGUUUAAGCGUGUAGGUGUGUGUUCCAGGUAAAUCCGGUUCACUUUAACACUGAGGCGUGACGACGAGGCACUACGGUGCUGAAGCAACAAAUGCCCUGCUUCCAGGAAAAGCCUCUAAGCAUCAGGUAACAUCAAAUCGUACCCCAAACCGACACAGGUGGUCAGGUAGAGAAUACCAAGGCGCUUGAGAGAACUCGGGUGAAGGAACUAGGCAAAAUGGUGCCGUAACUUCGGGAGAAGGCACGCUGACACGUAGGUGAAGUGAUUUACUCAUGGAGCUGAAGUCAGUCGAAGAUACCAGCUGGCUGCAACUGUUUAUUAAAAACACAGCACUGUGCAAACACGAAAGUGGACGUAUACGGUGUGACGCCUGCCCGGUGCCGGAAGGUUAAUUGAUGGGGUCAGCGCAAGCGAAGCUCCUGAUCGAAGCCCCGGUAAACGGCGGCCGUAACUAUAACGGUCCUAAGGUAGCGAAAUUCCUUGUCGGGUAAGUUCCGACCUGCACGAAUGGCGUAAUGAUGGCCAGGCUGUCUCCACCCGAGACUCAGUGAAAUUGAACUCGCUGUGAAGAUGCAGUGUACCCGCGGCAAGACGGAAAGACCCCGUGAACCUUUACUAUAGCUUGACACUGAACAUUGAGCCUUGAUGUGUAGGAUAGGUGGGAGGCUUUGAAGUGUGGACGCCAGUCUGCAUGGAGCCGACCUUGAAAUACCACCCUUUAAUGUUUGAUGUUCUAACGUGGACCCGUUACCCGGGUUGCGGACAGUGUCUGGUGGGUAGUUUGACUGGGGCGGUCUCCUCCUAAAGAGUAACGGAGGAGCACGAAGGUUGGCUAAUCCUGGUCGGACAUCAGGAGGUUAGUGCAAUGGCAUAAGCCAGCUUGACUGCGAGCGUGACGGCGCGAGCAGGUGCGAAAGCAGGUCAUAGUGAUCCGGUGGUUCUGAAUGGAAGGGCCAUCGCUCAACGGAUAAAAGGUACUCCGGGGAUAACAGGCUGAUACCGCCCAAGAGUUCAUAUCGACGGCGGUGUUUGGCACCUCGAUGUCGGCUCAUCACAUCCUGGGGCUGAAGUAGGUCCCAAGGGUAUGGCUGUUCGCCAUUUAAAGUGGUACGCGAGCUGGGUUUAGAACGUCGUGAGACAGUUCGGUCCCUAUCUGCCGUGGGCGCUGGAGAACUGAGGGGGGCUGCUCCUAGUACGAGAGGACCGGAGUGGACGCAUCACUGGUGUUCGGGUUGUCAUGCCAAUGGCACUGCCCGGUAGCUAAAUGCGGAAGAGAUAAGUGCUGAAAGCAUCUAAGCACGAAACUUGCCCCGA
rnacentral:rRNA from 1 species